rnacentral:rRNA from 1 species
UACGGGGGGAGCAAGCGUUGUUCGGAUUUACUGGGCGUAAAGGGCGCGUAGGCGGCCACCGCAAGUCGACUGUGAAAUCUCUGGGCUCAACUCAGAGUCUGCUAUAGAAACUGCAGUGCUGGAGUGUGGGAGAGGUGAGUGGAAUUCCCGGUGUAGCGGUGAAAUGCGCAGAUAUCAGGAGGAACACCGGUGGCGAAGGCGGGUCUCUGGGCCGAUACUGACGCUGGAGGAGCGAAAGCCGUGGGGGAGC